GUAAUAACAGUGAGAAGGAGUAGUAGUAAUAGAAGCUGGUUUAGAGAGUUGACGGUCGGUGCAAGUCAAUCCACGUUUCGUUAUGAACUCGCCUUUGAGUUGCAGUUGUGAAAUCUUUAGUAGCAAUUGCCGUUAAUCCACGUUACGGAUCUAAGCGAAUGUAUGUAUUAGUGCUUGUUCAAAAAGGAGGAUAAAGAAAUCGGGUAGCGAUCUUUACCGAACGUUUUGAACAUCCUUUAUUACAUUAAUUUAGGGUGGUACCGCGGGAAUCUAUAACCUCUCGUCCCUUUC
rnacentral:ncRNA from 1 species